rnacentral:ncRNA from 18 species
CUCGGGCAGCGCGACUGGCGAGGGUGGUGAACCACCGGGGAGCGCUGAUGGCUGGAGCAUCGCCCGCCUGGGUGCUUCUC